CCUACGGGAGGCAGCAGUGAGGAAUAUUGGUCAAUGGGCGCGAGCCUGAACCAGCCAAGUAGCGUGAAGGAUGACUGCCCUACGGGUUGUAAACUUCUUUUAUAAAGGAAUAAAGUGAGGCACGUGUGCCUUUUUGUAUGUACUUUAUGAAUACGGAUCGGCUAACUCCGUGCCAGCAGCCGCGGUAAUACGGAGGUUCCGAGCGUUAUCCGGAUUUAUUGGGAUUAAAGGGAGCGUAGAUGGGUUGGUAAGUCAGUUGUGAAAGUUUGCGGCUCAACCGGAAAAUUGCAAUUGAUACUGGCAGCCUUGAGUACAGUUGAGGUAGGUGGAAUUCGUGGUGUAGCGGUGAAAUGCUUAGAUAUCACGAAGAACUCCGAUUGCGAAGGCAGCUUACUAAACUGCCACUGACAUUGAUGCUCGAAAGUGUGGGUAGCAAACAGGAUUAGAUACCCCAGUAGUC
rnacentral:rRNA from 1 species